AAAUGAGAAUCAAGAGGAACAGCGUUAGGGCUAGGGUUUGUGUUUUGGUUGCCAUUUUGUAUGUGUUUUUUUUGUUGUUGCUCAAAGUGCUUGGGAGGGUACAUGUAUUUAUAGGUGCAGGGGACUUGUCGGUGAAGGUUUAGGGGAAGAGAAGUAUGACAGACGUGUCUUGCAGGUACAAAAUGGAUGCCAGUCUUCUGCUUGGAUCCGCGUCAACCAAGUUAGGGCCUGUUUAGUCCAAGUUUCACUUCACAACUUAGAAAUUUGUGAAUUAAGUUAGGUCGUGUUGCACGUUCUUUUUUCAAAAACCACUCAUAAGCGCUCUUAAUAUUUUUCGUAAGAAUGCAAGUGUUUUUAGAAAAAACACUCGAGAUGCUUAGCGUGUGAUUUUUCUAGAAAGCACUUUUAAGUGUUUUUUCAACCUAAAACACUUCAAAACCCUUUUAGUUGUUUUAAAGACACUUCCAACAGACACAAAAUGAAAAAUUACUUCCAAAGAGAAAUAUAGCAUGCUAUUUGAGAGAUUCCUAAACUAAAUAGCUAUUAAGCGUGACCUUAACCACUUAAUUAGGUGAAAUAAAAUAUCAAAUUUGACAAACAAUCUGAUGAACGCCAUAGCUAUAUGUUUAGUCAGUGGAUGAGAUAAUCAUGAAACAAUACGUGGAGAAUCAACACAGCCUUAUCAUCGCCAAAAAAUUUCAGCAUGCCAGAAACACGACCUGGUACAAUACUCUUGGUACCUCAAUUGUUGUCUUUAUUCCUGCAGAACCACAUGAGUGAGAUGUUUGCUUACCAUGCAACCAUGAUGUCCAAUACUCUUGGUACCUCAAUCGUUGUCUUUACCAAAACUGGUUUUAUGGCUUAUUCUAUUGAUCCAUUACCGACCUACGUAUACCGUGACCAUAUUUGCCUUUACGAAUGAAUGAGUUUUCAUGUUACCUCUCACAAAGGCAUUAGUUAAAAUUUUAACUGUAUCAGUUAUAUAGUACGCUGUGCAAGUUCUAUUCAUUAGCAAGUACUUUGAUUGUCAUGCAGUAAGAGCAUACAACGGAGAUUGGCUUUGUAUCAAGGCGUAUGUCCCAUAUACAUGGAGUUCCCAGAAGAUUCUGAAACAAGCUUUAGCAAUGCCUUGACUGUGCUGAAGGUGUUUUGCUGCAUAUUUCCUAAAUUUAUGGCGACGUAUGCUAUUCAACCAUGUCAGCACUGAUGGUGCAUUUUCUGGUGUUUUGUUUACAGGAGCAAGGAUUGGUAAAGGCAGGAGAAGAGGUCGCACUCGUUCAAAGUGGCAGGCAACCCAUUUGGCGGCUCCAACCCACUCACAACAUUCAAGUGCGAAAGUUUAGGUGCAACGUAGAUGGAAAACUCGUAGCUUUUGUGUUGUACUUCCAGUUGAAUGUCGUGAUAGUUUCUGAUGAAAUUGGGUUCCACCAUAAAACCAAUUGGCAAUAUGGGGAGUAGCCAAAGAUCAUAUAAGCACAUAGUAAACCUUGUCCCUCAUCAAUGUGGGACAACUCUCAACAUACCCCCGCACGUGUGACGGAAUUUCAAUCCUACACGUGGACAACAACUGGAUGACGUAGAGUGCGUGUGGCCGUUGGGCUUCACACGUGGACAACCUUGCUCUGAUACUAUGAUGAAAUUGGAGUUCCACCAUAAAACCAAUUAGCAAUAUGAGGAGUAGCCCAAGAUCAUAUAAACAUAUAAUAAACCUUGUCCCUCACCAAUGUGUGACAACUCUCAACUCCAAUGUGGGACAACUCUCAACAGUUUCUUGCUUUGGUUGUUUAAUUUUACUUCUGUUGCACACUUUUGUGGUCCUAUCUGCUUCUUUUUGUAUCCCUCUUUCCCCCUAAUUAGUUUGGGUGUAUGUUUUAGAACAGUAAGUUGUUUCAGUAUAAAUUUGGCAGUUUGAAUGAAAUGUCUUAACUUUUUACUCAAACUGUCUAAUUUUUUUUAAUUGUUUGAUUGAGGAGACAGAUUGUCACCUUAUAAUAUCCGCAGCAUAUACCGUUUGUCGCGUGGCCGUUGAACAUUGACUAGGUUAGGAUUAAGAUUGAGAGAGUCUGGUGCUUUUGUGAAUGUUAUUUUAUAGAUAGCGUGAUUAUACAGAUGGCAAAGCGCUUGAACUGGACUCGACAGAAUGAGGUAUUUAUUAACUAAGGUCAAAAGUCAAGCAAAAAUUGUUGAUAGGGACUUCAUAAACAAAAUUAAACAACAUUCGUUUGUAUAAUUAUCAAACCGACAAUAUCUUAGGGUGCUAUCCACACAUUCUUUUUUAUCUUUUGCACACUCCUCUCAAUUUUUAACUGCUAAAUCAAAUGAAUUGAAGAAUAUCAAAUAACAAAAAUUAACAGAGAAUGUGUGAAAGAUAAAACUGAGUGUAUAGAUAGCAUCACCCUAUCUUAUUAAGAUAAUGACAUCCUAUUUAUUUGAUAUAAUCUUUUAGGGACUAACCAAAACAUUGAGUUGCAAAAGUCAAACUCUUCCGAUGAUGGAAGAACUAAAUCCACUUUUAUCAUCACAAAACUUAACAUCACACCACCAUACUUCGACGACUUCUUUAUCACCAGUAGAAUUUCCGAAUUCAGCGAAGCAGCCGGAAUAUACCCACUUACGGCCGCUCAGGAGCCGCCGGCAACCCCAAAAACAUCUUUCUCAUACAAUGAUGUCACUUGGCGUCUUAACAAGGUGGGAGACUUUGGGAGGACUUUAUUGGGUAUUUCCAAGUACUCGGUACUCUAUGUAUUUUAACCAUUAGAUCUUUGUUUAGAAAUAUAAAAAUCAAAAUCUAACGGUUAAAACAUCCAAUGUACCAGUAGUACUGCUCAAAUUUUUUUGAGACAUUGAAUGCAAUCCCUCCAAAAAAUUAAUAGGUUAUACAGUAGUACCACUUCAACCGUGAUACUUUCAUUCAAAGGCUAGUUUUAUACUAAUAUGUGAUGCUUUCAUUCCAUAUUUGAGAGGGCCUUUGAAUAAGUAUAAAGCUAGCCUUUACAAUAUGAGCUAGCUAGCCUCCAUACACACAGUGCCUGCCAAUCAUGUAAAACCAUAGACAAUGAUACAAGACAAUUUAUUUGGACCUAUAAUUUCUUUUCAUAACUACAUCACAUCGCCCUUUAUGUAAAACUAUAUUUUAUUCAAUUUCAAAAAUUAGUACAUGCAAUAACAUGUUUUAUCAUAAAAAAUACGAUAAAUUUCAGGCCUCGUUUGGCAGCUCAGACUGUACUGACUAUUUCUGUCGGAUAGGAUAAAUAGUCAUCGGAUAGUACUGACUAAAUUAGUCGGGCGUUUGGUGCAGUAUCGGACUAAUGACUGUAUUAUUUAUACUGUGUUUGGUAUUAUACCGGAUAGAAGGAAUCAAACUUAAAAUAAAAUUAAAAAAAAAAUUAAAAUCAUCUCUCUUGUUCCAUAUCUCUCCGCCGCACCCCCCCAAACUCCCUCCCUUUCUAUCCCUUCCUCUUCUUCCCCGUCUGCUCCCCUGAACUAAACCCCACCACAAAGGCAGCAACAAGAAACCCAUCUUUCAAAUUCUCAUCGUUUUUUUCCCAAUCCUUAUUUUUUUUUAGCUACAAAUCAACCCAGCAAAAAAACACACCACAAACCAAGAAAAUUCACACAAAGGACUUUGUUUUCUAUUAGUCCUAAAAAACAAUUGGAAGGAAAUUCACGGAGGACACCUUUUUUUCAACAAACCAAGAACACUCAUCGGAGAGAAAAAUGGGGCUGACUGUGAUUUUGGGCAUUAGGUUGGGGAAAAGCAUUGACAAAAUUCGAUUUGGAGGAGGGGAAGAGCUGAGUGACGCCUCCAGUUGGCGAAUUCCUCAGCUUCCAUCCGCCCCUUUCUAUAUAUCCCUGUGGAAUAUGUUGUUUCGCUACUGGUCUCCUUUUGUCUCUCUCUCACUCUCUUCUUUGUUCCUCUGUGUGCUUUCCGUCGGACGAGACGGGAAAUUAGUCGGCGAAUGACUGCAGAGGAGUGGCGCCCGGGGUGGAGAACUCGUCGAGGAACUACUCGAAGGCCCACUUUGAGAAGUCGUUAACGGCGGCUUUGUGAAGUUGGAGAGGACAGCGCCCUGACUAAUUAUCCCGAGCUUUUGGGCUGUUUUAAUAGUACGUUGUCAACCGUAUAAAAUUUGAUGGGCCGGAUAAUUAAGCGGGUGCUUAUUUAGUACGAGAGUGCACCAAACAACAGCUCCUGUAUUACUUAUCCUAUCCGAUGCUUUAUACGGCGUGCCAAACGAGGUGAGCGUGUAUUAGAAAUACGGGAUGGUAAAUCACAUAUUAUUAUAUAAGUGAAAAAAAGUUUUAUUUUUUUAAGUGUGCCUCCACUUAUAUAAUAUAUUGUACUACCCAAAUUCUGAAUAAGUAAAAGAUCUCUCCGAAAAAUACAUAUGCAUGUUUUAUUCAAAAGGUAAGGAAUGAUGCGUCAUCAUCCCUAAUACACUUUAUUAUAGUAGUAGCAUCAAUUGAGGCAGAGAAGUUAAUUAGAUGCUGUCCUUAAUGGAUGCACUAUAACCGUUGUCAUAGAACCUGUUCCAAAGCAUAACUCCUCCGUACUUGGGCGAAUUCUUAAUCGUUGGAAGAACUUGUGACUUGAGAGCGUCAGCAGGAAUAAAUCCGCCGCUCGGAGCGGCCUCAGGAGCUGCCGGUAACCCCAUGAACACCUGGGUGGCCGGAACCGAGGCCCAUUGGUUCCAACUGCUCAAAAGAGCGUCGGCAUUACCGUCCGCAUACUGGCAUUGGGGGUUGUUGUAGAACUGGACCCAAACGUAGUCAAAUAAACCGGUUUGGAUAGCGCCGUCUAGGUGAGCAUCCGGGAUCGGACAUUGUGGAGCUGCGGCUAAAUAGACCGUUUUUGCCUGUCCGUUGUGUCCGUUGAGUGACUUGGCGAGCUCAUCAUAGAACUGCGCACCACCCGCCUCAAUGUCGAAAUCAACGCCGUCCAAAACCGCGUCCCCAAGCGGGCGCGAAGCUGACUGACCACCUAAGAAGUUGUUCCAGAUGUAAUCAGCAACUUGCCUUGCAUCAUCAGCUGAAGUGAGAGAGUAACUUCCGGCGGCCCCUCCAAUCGAGAGGAGGACUUUUAUGUUUUUUGAUUGGCAGGUUCUGAUGUCGGCACUCAGCCCGGUGCAAGUACCACUAGCGGGGUCGCAGUGGCCGGCGAGGUUUAGGACAGGGGUUUGGUUGUUUCCGAAAGUAGUGAGGAAAGCUAUGUUAACAAACUGGUAGUUGCCUGAGUUGCAAGCAUCUGCUAGGGUUCCUUCGUUUCCGUUUUGGCCCCAAUAGACCGCAAUUCCGGCGGCUUGGGAGGACUUGCAUGAAGAAAUGAGGAUCAAGAGGGACAGCGUUAGGGCUAGGGUUUGUGUUUUGGAUGCCAUUUUUAUAUGUUUUUUUGGGUUGUUGUUCAAAGUGCUUGGGAGUGGACAUGUACUUAUAGGUGCAGGGGACUUAUCGGUUAAGGUUUAGGGGAAGAAAAGUAUGACAGACGUGUUCUGCAGGUAAGAGUCUUCUGCUUGCAACCGCGUCAAUCACGUUAGGGCCUGUUUAUUUAGUCCAAGUUUCACUUUACAACUUAGAACACGUCAAUUAAAUUAGGUCGGGUUGAAAAUGCAUUUUCCAAAACCACUUUCACACAUAAGCGCUUCUUAUAUUUUCAUAAAAAUGCAAGUGGUUUUAUAAAAAAAAAAACUUGAGGUGUUUGGCGUGUGUUUUUUCAGAAAGCACUUAAAAUAUUUUUUCAACCUAAAAUCACUGAAUUUUUUAUGAUUUCAAAGUUCUUUUAAUUGUUUUGAAGGCACUUCCAACUGAUAUUUUAUAAAAAAUUACUUCUAGAGAGAAUUAUAGCAUGCUAAUUGAGAGAUUCCGAAACUAAAAAGCCAUCAAAUUUGCCAAAAAAAAAAUCUGAUGAGACAAUACGUGGAGAAUCAACACAGCUGUAUCAUCACCAAAAAUUUUCAGUGUGCAGAAAUACAGUCCGGUACAAAGUGUUAUAAUAAAAUUGGUUGAUUUUUUUUUUUAAGUUUCCAACUAAUUAUAUUAUUACACUUGAUGUACCGAUCCGUAUUUCUGAAAAAUCUCUCCUUACCAUCACAUCACAUGAAUGUUUUGGAAAGUUCGUAGAUAGAAACCAAAAUCUCUCCUUAUCAUCACAUCACAUCACAUGAACGUUUGGGAAGCUCGUCGAUAGAAACCAAAUGGAAUAUGCUUUUAGCUGAGGAUGGCCAUUGGCCAGGGACUUCGGUCUAAUCACGAUGCUUUAAUUUCGCAGUCGGAAAAAAACUUUCGAAUAAAAUUUAGGGUAUAUUUAGGAAGUGUUUUUAAAUGAUUGAAAACAUUUUUAGAAAUAUUUUUUUUUAAAAACGUUUCCAGUCAUUUAAAAAAACUUCUUAAACGAGUUUAAUUACUUGUGUAUGGGGCAACAUUUAGCUAGUAAUGGUUCUCAUGAAUUGGAUUGUGGUGAUGUGAAAAUGGGUUUGGGUUAGUUUAGUUUAGAGUUUAUAUUUACUAUCCGGUGCAUGCAAAUGGAAUGUCAAAUCUUUCAGAGAAAUUUUGAUAGAACUGCCACUUAGGGCAACACAUAUUAAACAAACAAAUGUAGGGUUGGAGAAGACUAAAAUACAUGAAUUCUCGUGUUUUCAUAAAUGUGAUCUAAAAAUAAUAUAGCAUGUGCCCUGAGAACAACGUGAUCAGUACCUAAUCGAAGUUCUCUAGUGUGGAAAGAUUCAAGAGGGGUGUGACGCUUCCGACAAAUAAAAAAUCACACAUUUUCGAAUUCGGAAAUGUAUAGAACAGAGCAGAUAUCACUAGAUGAAUGUUAACUGUUUUACAGAAAAUUUAUAAGACAAUUAGAGUUAAACAACAGAAGCUUGCACUUUAAAUGGUUAUGUCCAGCUGCUUUUGGUAUGUAUAUGCUUUUUCCAUGUCUCGAUGUAGUUCCAGUUCACUGCUCAUCAUCCUGGAACAAUGCUUUCGAAACAGAGCCGCACGGCUGGCUACUGUAUUCUCGGUAAUCUUCAUCGUCAUCACAGCUGCGUUGCGAGCAUGAACGUUUGAUUCCUGUCAUUGGGGUUUCACAGACUCUGUCAUCGCAUGAACCUCUAUGAUCCUUCCUUUUAAACAGCUUUCGAAGCGGAUUUGACUUUGGUUUCAAUGGUUUCAGCCGUUUGGGGGCCCAAACUCUCUGCAGAUCGGGCAUCCAUCUUGUGGAUGAAGCGAAUCUCCAAGCCCUCUCUCUCCUCUCUUGAGCUUCAAGUAACUUGCGAGCAUGGUCGUCCUAUUGUUUGAUCUCUUCGACGCUUGGUCUUCCAAUAUCAGUUUUCAGCGGACGAAGAGACUCACCUUCUGCUUGUAAUGAGUCCCAGAUUCUAUAACUUCCAUCCACUUCGACACUCUUCGGUUUUUCUUUACAGGAUCGAUUGCUAUCCUCACUGUUGAGUAAACUAUUAGGGAGUUCUUCCUCAUCAGCAAACAGUAACAAAUCCAUUUUCGUAUAGAUUUUGUGAACCACAUCUUCAAGUGUCUCACAGUACCUGAAAAAUGUCCAAAUUCAGGCUCUUGACAAUUUGACAAAGCAUUUCAUUGAAAAGGUUCAAUCCUUACUACCAUUAUAAUUUAUAAUGUGUUGUAUGGUUUACCUCGUAAUGGUGCUAAGUUAUUUCUACAGUUUUGGGGCAUUUUUUUUGCAGUUUCGGUGCAAUUUUGAUGCAGUUCUUUUUUUUUGCAAUUUUGCUGCAUUGUUGUUGCUGUUUUUGCUGCAUGUUCAUUGAUUAAUAAAAAGGUCGUACCCAGUGCACAAGGCUCCCUUGAUUAAUAUAUGAGAAAAAUAAGACUGUCAUAUGCUUAAAUAGGUGUAUAUUUUAAAUUAUACAUUUUUUUUUCAAAAAUCGAACCGAAACUGUUUGAAACCGUACCGCACCAAACCAAACGGUUUGGUUUCAUUUCAGUUUUGGCUUCAAAACUGCACCGAACCGCACCGCAAAAAAAUUUGGUUUCGGUUGCGGUUUCACUCGAAACCGCACCGAAGCGCACCGCGCCCACCCCUACAGGGGACUUGUCGAUGAAGGUUUAGGGGAAGAGAAGUAUGACAGACGUGUCUUGCGGGUACAAAAUGGGUGCCAGUCUUCUGCAUGCAUGGAACCGCGUGAACCAAGUUAGGGCCUGUUUAGUCCAAGUUUCACUUGACAACUUAGAAAUUUGUCAAUUAAGUUAGGUCGUGUUGGAAAUUCUUUUUUCAAAAACCACUCAUAAGUGCUUUUAAUAUUUUUCGUAAGAAUGCAAGCGUUUUUAGAAAACACACUCAAGGUGCUUAGCGUGUGCUUUUUUUUAGAAAGCACUUUUAAGUGUUUUUUCAACCUAAAAACACUUGUUUUAAAGACACUUCCAACAAACACAUAAUUAAUGGAAAAUUACUUCCAGAGAGAAAUAUAGCAUGCUAUUUGAGAGAUUCCAAAACUAAAAGCUAAAUAGUUAUUAAGCGUGACCUUAACCAAGGUGAAAUAAAAUAUCAAAUUUGACAAACAAUCUGAUGAACGUCAUAGCUAUAUGUAUAGUCAGUAGAUGAGAUAAUCAUGAAACAAAACGUGGAGAAUCAACACAGCCUUAUCAUGGCCAAAAUUUGUCUGUGUGCCAGAACCACGGCCUAGUACACUAAAAGUGUCAUAAUAGAAUUGGUUGGAAAUUCAUUCGGUUACAACUGACUCUGAAGUCUUUAUUUCUGCACAACCACAUAGUGAGAUGUUUGCUUACCAUGCAACCAUGAUGUCCAAUACUCUUGGUACCUCAAUCGUUGUCUUUACCAAAACUGGUUUUAUGGCUAUUCUAUUGAGCCAUUACCGACCUACCGGGAUCAUAUUUGCCUUCACGAAUGAGUGAGUUUUCAAUUUACCUGUCACAAAGGCAUUUAGUUAAAAUUUGUAACUGUAUCAGUCAAAAUAUGCUGUGAAAGUUCUAUUCAUUAGCAAGUACUUUGAUUGCCAUGCAGUAAGAGCAUACAACGGAGAUUGGCUUUGUAUCAAGGCGUAUGUCCAAUAUAUACAUGGAGUUCACAGAAGAUUCUGAAACAAGCUUUAGCAAUGCCUUGACUGUGCUGAAGGUGAUGUUUUGCUGCAGAUUUCCUAAAUUUAUGGCGACGUAUGCUAUUCAACCAUGCCAGCACUGAUGGUUCAUUUUCUGUUGUUCUGUUUGCAGGAGCAAGGAUUGGUAAAGGCAGGAGAAGAGGUCGCACUCGUUCAAAGUGGCAGGCAACCCAUUUGGCGGCUCCAAUCCACUCACAAAAUUCAAGUGCGCAAAAUUUAGGUGCAACGGAGAUGGAAUAAUCGCCCUCGUAACAUAGAUUUCUUCGUCUACACUACAAAAGUUUCAAAUGAUAGCUUUUGUGUUGUACUUCCAGCGGAAUUGUCGUGAUACUUUCUUCCUUUGGUUGUUUUUUUUCUUCUGUUGCACACUUUUGUGAUCCUAUCAAUGUGCUUCUUUUUGUUUCCGAUUUCCCCCUAGUUAAUUUUGGCGUAUGUUUUAGAACUGUAAGUUGUUAAAGUAUAAAUUUGGCAGUUUGAAUGCAAACUGUCUAAAUUUUUUUAAUAGUUCGAUUGAGGAAACAGAUCGUCACACUCACAUUCUAAUAUCCGCCGCUUACCGUUUGUCGUGUGGCCGUUUAACACUGACUAAGGUAGAUCUCACAUCAGAUCAGCACGGGACUAGGUUCCGUGCUCUUGUGAAAGUUAUUCUACGUACGACGUGAUUCUACACAUGGUUUGUGGUUUGGGCUUGAACCGGUCUCUACGAAAUGAGGCAGAUUUUUUGUUUAUUAACAAAGGUCAAAAGUCAAACAAAAAUUGUUGAUACAGACUAUCUUAAACAAAAUUAAACAACAUUCGCUUGAAUAAUUAUCAAAUUGACAAUGUCUCAUAGGUGAUGCUGUCCAUACACUCUUUUUAUUUUUCACUCACUCCUCCCAAUUUUUAACCGUCAGAUCGAAUAAAUUAAAGAUGAUCAAAAGACAAAAAUUAACUGAAGAUAUGUGAAAGAAAAAACAAAAUGUAUAUAUAGCAUCACCUAUCUUAUUAGGAUAAUGACAUCCGAUUUAUUUGAUAUAAUCUUUUAGGGAAACCAAAACGUUGAGUUACAAAAGUCAAACUCUUCCGAUGAUGGAAUAACUAUAUCCAUUUUUAUCAUCACAAAACUCGGACCCUAACAUCACACCACCAUACUUCGACGACUUCUUUAUCACCAGUAGAAUUUCCGAAUUCAGCAAAGCAGCCACAAUAUACCCACUUCUGGCCACCUCAGGAGUGGCCGGCAACCCCAAAAACAUCUUCCCUUUCUAAUACAUUAAUGAUGUCAGUUGGCGUCUUAACAAGAUGGGAGACUUUGGAGUCGCUUUAUUGGGAUCUCCCGAGUACUCGGUACUCUAUGUAUUUUAACCGUUAAAUCUUUGUUUAAAAAUAUAAAAAUCAAAUUCUAACAGUUAAAAUAUUCAAAAUAUCCAUAGUACCGCUCGAAAUUUUUUGAGACAUUAAAUGCAAUCCCUCCAAGAAAUCAUCUCAAAUUUUUUUGAGACAUUAAAUGCGAUCUCUCCAAGAAAUUAUUAGAUUAUACCGUAGUACCAUCUCAGCCGUGGUAGUUUCAUCCAAAGGCUAGCCUUUACAAUAUGAGCUAGCCAGCCUUCAUGCACACAGUGCCUGCCAAUCAUGUAAAACCAUUGACAAUGAUACAUGACAAUUUAUUUGGACCUAUAACUUCAUUUCAUAACUACAUCAGAUAACCGUUUAUGUGCAACUAUAUUUUAUUCAAUUUCAAAAAUUAGCAUAUGCAAUGACAUGUUUUAUCGUAAAAAGUACAAGAAAUUUUCAACGUAUCACAAAUACAAAGUGUUAUACCACAUGUCAUUAUAUAAAGAGAAAUUUUUUAUAUUUUAAGUCUGUCUCCACUUAUAUAAUAUGUGUUGUACCAUCCGAAUUCCGGAUCAGUAAAAGAUCUCUCCAAAAAUACAUAUGCAUGUUUUAUUCAAAAGGUUAGGAAUGAUGCGUCAUCAUCCCUAACGCACUUUAUUAUAAGUAGUAUCAUCCAUUGAGGCAGAGAAGUUAAUUAGAUGCUGUCCUUAAUGGAUGCACUAUAGCCGUUGACAAUGUCAUACUGCCUGCCCCAGAGCAUAAUUCCUCCGUACUUGGGCGAUUUCUUAAUCGUUGGAAGAACUUGUGACUUGAGAGCGUCAGCAGGAAUAAAUCCGCCGCCCGGAGCGGCCUCAGGAGCUGCCGGUAUACCCAAGAACACCUGGGUGGCCGGAACCGAGGCCCAUUGGUUCCAACUGCUCAAAAGAGCGUCGGCAUUACCGUCUGCAUACUGGCAUGGGGGGUUGUUGUAGAACUGAACCCAAACGUAGUCAAAUAAACCGGUUUGGAUAGCGCCGUCUAGGUGAGCAUCCGGGAUCGGACAUUGUGGAGCUGCGGCUAAAUAGACCGUUUUUGCCUGUCCGUUGUGUCCGUUGAGUGACCUGGCGAGCUCAUCAUAGAACUGCGCACCACCCGCCUCAAUGUCGAAAUCAACGCCGUCCAAAACCGCGUCCCCAAGCGGGCGCGAAGCGGACUGACCACCUAAGAAGUUGUUCCAGAUGUAAUCAGCAACUUGCCUUGCAUCAUCAGCUGAAGUGAGAGAGUAACUUCCGGCGGCCCCUCCAAUCGAGAGGAGGACUUUUAUGUUUUUUGAUUGGCAGGUUCUGAUGUCGGCACUCAGCCCCGUGCAAGUACCACUAGAGGGGUCGCAGUGGCCGGCGAGGUUUAGGACAGGGGUUUGGUUGUUUCCGAAAGUAGUGAGGAAAGCUAUGUUAACAAACUGGUAGUUGCCUGAGUUGCAAGCAUCUGCUAGGGUUCCUUCAUUGCCGUUUUGGCCCCAAUACGUCGCGAUUCCGGCGGCUUGGGAGGACUUGCAUGAAGAAAUGAGGAUCAAGAGGGACAGCGUUAGGGCUAGGGUUUGUGUUUUGGAUGCCAUUUUUGUAUGUUUUUUUGGGUUGUUGUUCAAAGUGCUUGGGAGUGGACUUGUACUUAUAGGUGCAGGGGACUUAUCCGUUAAGGUUUAGGGGAAGAAAAGUAUGACAGACGUGUUCUGCGGGUUAGAAAUGGGUGCCAGUCUUCAGCUUGGAACCUCGUCAAUCAAGUUAGCUAGGGCCUGUUUAGUCCAAGAAGUUUCACAUAAAACGCCGAUUAAGUUAGGUCGGGUUGGAAAUGCUUUCUUCAAAAACUACUUACACACGUAAGCGCUUCUUAUAUUUUUCAUAAGAAUGCAAGUGCUUUUGAAAAAAAACACUUGAGCUGUUUCGUGUGUUUUUUUCAGAAAAUACUUUAAAUGUUUUUUCAAACUAAAAAUCCAUUAAAGCUCCUUUACUUGUUUAAGGGCACUUCCAAAAUCAUAUUUAAAGAAAAAUUACUUCUAGAGAGAAUUAUAACAUGCUAAUUGAGAGAUCCCGAAACUAGAAACUAGAUAGUUAUAAUGAAGCGUGACCUUAACUGCUUAAUUAAGUGAAAAAAGCCAUCAAAUUUGACAAAAAGUCUGAUGAAAGGUCAUAGCUGUAUCAUCUGUAGAUGAGAUAAUCAUGAAACAAUGUGGGGAAUCAACACAUCCUUAUCAUCGUCAAAAAAAAAAAUUCACUGUGCUGGAAGCACGUUCAAUUGAACGUUUUGGAAGUUUGUGGAUAGAAACCAAAUGGAAUAUGCUUGUAACCAAAAUUGCUGGCUGCUAUAUACAUCUUGGAUUUUAGCUGAGGUGGCCAUUGGCCAAGGACUUUGGUCUAAUCACGAUGCUUUAAUUUCGCAAUCCAAAAAAAAAAUUCAGAUAAAAUUUAGAACACGUUUUGGGAGUGCUUUCAAAUUACUGAAAGCGAUUUUAGAAAGAAAAAAAAUGUUUAUAUAACUAAUCUUUAAUAAAAAUGCAAGUUAAUCCUCCAAAAGUACUGAAACUAGUGCUUCUUUGAUAAAACACUUCAAGUGCUUUUGGAGCUCAAAAAUAUUAUCUCAAGUGGUUUCAGUCAUUUAAAAACACUUUCUAAACGAGUUAAUGACUCGUGUAUGGGGCAACAUUUAGCAAGUAACGGCUCUCAUGAAUUGGAUUGUGGUGAUGUGAAAAUGGGUUUGGGUAAGUUUAGUUUAGACCAGUCAGCAGUGUUUAAAAUAUCCACGACAUUAUCGAUAUUUUCGUUGAAAUAUCCUUAAAAUUAAGGGUCCAUAAGCAAAAGAAGGAUGAAAUGCAAACUUCACCCUAUAUCGGCAAGAUACAAGAAAACAAUGAAUAUAGACAAUAUGUAACAACUCGUCCCAAGAUUUACUGUAUAUAAAUGGUAUUUUUGUAUUUUCAUCAAGUUUGGGAAUUUAUCUUCCUUUUAAAAUUUGUUUUUGGUCUUAAAUGGUGAUCCAAGGGGACCCACUCCCCUGAUUUUGUCCCCGAGCCCUCUUCUCUCUUUCUUCCUCUCCUCUUCCCUUUCCCCUUUCCCGUAUACUUCUAUUCCUCUCUUCUCUAUGAUCACACUCACACCCAGCUGCACUCCCUGCUCGAGGAAGACGCAAUCACCAUCUAAACCACGUCCCUUUCCUCUUCCUCUUGCCUCUGUGCAACUCGGCGAAACCAAGAAAAUAACCUCCGGCAAGUCCGACGGCUUUCGAAGCCAUUUCCUGCCAAACCACGGCGCGUUGGCCGGCGUGCAAGGUAUCAAUCUCUUCGUCCCGUCAAGUACUAUAACUUUUCUUUUUGUUUCACUCAAUUUAAUUGAGUAUUGAAGAAGUUAUACUCAUUUGAAUCUUACCCAGUUUCCGGCGACCUCCGAGGCUUUCGAGGAAAUUUCAGGCCAAACCAUGGCGAGUCAGACGUGAGGUAUCAUUCUCUUCGUCUCUUCCAGGACUACAACUUUCGUUUUUGUCUCGCUUGAUUUCGUUGAGUAGUGACAAAGUUAUGGCUGUUUAAAGUGGGGUGGUUUUCCGGCCGAAUUUCCGGCCUUCUUCUUCCUUGGCAACAGGCCACCCGGCCUUUCCCUCUCCCUCGGACCUUAGGCCCGUGUUGUCUUAAGCCCAAAACCCUAGCCUUUAGUUUUAAGUUUUAUUAUUUGGUUUUAAAACCCUAAAAAGGGCCUUGGGCCGGUGGUUUUUAAAAAGGGCUUAAAGCCCUGUUUUUCUUUAUUUAUUUUUAUUAAGGCCUUAAGGCCUUGUGAUUUUGUGCCCGUGGGUGUGUGUGUUAGGUGUGUAUGUGUUUAUGCAUGCACAUGCAUGCCGUGUGUGUGUGUGUAUUUGUAGUAUGUGUGUGUUUGGGCUAAAGCCCAAACCCCAAUUCUCACCCUAAAACCAUUUUAACCCAAAAUCCUAGGUUCCUAAAAUCCUUUAAAACCCUAAACCCAUCCAAUCCCAAAUCCCCUAUUUUAUUUAAACCUAAACCCUAAUCCGGAUUUCAAGCCUAAAACCCAUUUGACCGUUGACCCCCGGUCAACGUUGAUUUUAGGGUUGACUUUUCGGGUUUUCGUCCGGGACCCUUCUUAGGGUAAUUCGACGUUCUAAAUCCGUUUCCAAUGUCCAUUUUCCCAAAUUCAAUUGUUAUUAUAUAGUUUUAUUUAUUGGACUCUUUAUGUGCUUAGGGGCAAUUAUUGUGACGUUUCCAUCUUCGCUAGUGGCACAGCUUUUGGCAACUAAGUAUUGUGAGUGGACCCCUUCUAGAAUUACAUGAUUUGAUAAUUUAAUUGCAUAAAUGAUUAGCAUGCCUACGAAUUUAUGAUUUGAUUUAUGUGAAGCCUGAUGAUUUAAUAUAUUGAUUAUCGUCUCGGGUUUUGGUGAGGAAUUAUUUGUUAGCCUAUAUUGAGCUAUAUUUUAAUAUAUCGUAUUUUCUAUUAAAACCAUGAACUGGUAGACUAUCUGAUAGAUGACGAUAGGAUGCUAGAACAUGUUUUUGAACCCCUCUUUAUAGUGUAGACGAUGAUCGGUAACCUAUGCUAUGAAGUGGUUUUUUUUAGAGAGACGUAACUAUUUGUGCGUACCUAGUAGACACUAUGCCGCCUGGGGCAAGGAACUGGUGUUGGCAUUUAGGCCGGGAGAAAUAAUCCCUAGCGAAAGGCUGAGGGACACGGAGACAGGCAGUGGGCCAAGAGGGAGUUAUCUCUGGCUACGGGCACAGAGACUGAGGUGCAAGCAUUGGGCCGGGAGUUAUAUUUAUUCAGUGAUCUUUCUAGCAGCACACUGCGUUUACGAGACGAUUUAUGAUGCGUUUACUGUUUUGAUUUCCGCGAUGUUUUUCCGCGUUAUGGCGUUUGAGAUAUUUUUGGCAUACUAGGAUUUUUAUUAAAUCCAUCACUUAUUAUGCUAGUAGUUUUCAUUUAUAUAAACUUUGGGGGUUAGUAUGUUGAUAAUUGUUUUAUUAUUAUUGUAUAUAUAAACUUGGUCCACUCACCUUUGUUUUGCGCCCCCAUUCAGGACUUAGAAUCAAGGCACCUAAUCCCGGCGUGAAGACACUUUCGCAGCAGCAUCUUCGGAUCCUCUCGAUGUAGGACUCACUCCUUUACUCAUUAAAUUUUAUCUUAAUUCUUUUUAGUGAUUAGAUUUAGUUGUAUGCUCUGAGCACGUUCCUAAAACUUUUAACUCUUAGUUUUUAAAUUCAUAACACUUACUUAUUUCUUAUUCUUAGCUUUUGUAUCAAUUAAUGGCUUUCGUCACCCUCGGGUGUCGGCCAGCAUGUGUCUUCCUGGUAUUCGGGGAAUAUCAGGGUCGGGGCGUGUCACAAUAUUUACGGAUUAAUUACAAAAUUUUGCUAAUACCUAUUGCAGAUUUCGAACUGUAGAAUUUUUUUUAUAAAUUUUUUCUUUAAUUUCAACUAAAUCUGAAUGAGUACUUACCCCAUUGUAAAUUUCCAUCGAAGACUUUCCAACUAUAUCGAUAUUUUAAACACUGGUUUAGACCAACAUGUUUAAUAUCCAGUGCAUGCAAAUAGAAUGUCAAAUCUUUUUGAAAAACUUCAGUAUGACUGCCACUUAAGGGCAACUAGCAUAUUAAAGAGACCAAUGCAAAGUUGGAUGAGACUAAAAUACAUAAAGUCUCAUGUUUUGGUGAGAUGUGGUUUACAAAUGAUAUAGCAUGUGCCCUACGAAAAACGAGAUCGGAUUACCUAAUUGAAGUUUCUCUAGCAUGAAAAAUUCAAGAGGGAUGUGACGGUUCCGGAAAGUAAAAAAUCACACAUUUUUAUUAAUAAUUUUUUUGUUCGAAUUCGGAAAUGUAUAGAACUGAACAAAUGGAAUAGUGGCUCAGUGAUACCAACAAUUUCAUGUUGCAAAUUACAAAAAAAAAAAAAAAAAAAAAAAAAAAAGGAAAUGUUUUACACAAAAUUAAUGACAAUUAGAGUUAAACAACAGAAACUUGCACUUUAAAUGGUUUUUUUCUGCUGCUUUUGGUAUGUAUAUGCUUUUUCCGCACCGCUGGCUACUGUAUUCUCGGUAAUUUUCAUCGUCAUCCCAGCUGCGUUGCGAGCAUGAACGUUUGAUUCCUGUCAUUGGGGUUUCACAUACUCUGUCAUCACAUGAACCUCCAUGAUCCUUCCUUUUAAACAGCUUUCGAAGUGGAUUUGACUUUGGUUUCAAUGGUUUCAGCUGUUUUGGGGCCCAAAUUCUCUGCAGAUCGGGCAUCCAUCUUGUGGAGUAAGCGAACCUCCGAGCCCUCUCUCUCCUCUCUUGAACUUCAAGUAACUUGCGAGCAUGGUCGUCCUUUUGUUUGAUCUCUUCAGCGCUCGGUCUUCCAAUAUCAGUUUUCAGCGGACGAAGAGACUCACCUACUGCUGGUAAUGAAUCCCAGAUUCUAUAACUUCCAUCCACUUCGACACUCUUCGGUUUUUCUUUACAGGAUCGAUUGCUAUCCUAACUGUUGAGUAAACUAUUAGGGAGUUCUUCCUCAUCAGCAAACAGCAACAAAUCCAUUUUCUUAUAGAUUUUGCGAACCACAUCUUCAAGUGUCUCACAGUACCUGAAAAAUUCCAAAUUCAAAGAUUAAUCUAUCUGCUUAAGUUAAUUUUCCAUCUCAAACAAAAAUUGAUUGCCCGCACAUGUACUUCCGGAAAACUAAUUCCAGGAACGGAUUAUUUAAGCAACAUCGUUUCUUCAAGGAUCAUACUGUAGACAUACACUAUUGGCACAUUGCAAAAGUUGUAUAAACAUAUUCCACACUCGUUCAGAAAAACAUGGGUACGAUGUGCGCAUAACUGGCCUAUAUCCUGUCAAUCUACACUGAUAAGGAAAGACACUUUAACUCAUCUAAGAUUAUAAAGACAACCACUUUCCUUAUUUAGCAUUGUUGCAAAGGUAAGUAGGACAUGAUUUGUUAGAUAGGUAGUAAUAUCCCACAUGAAAGUGGAACACAGUGGCACCGGAAAUGUGUAUUUGUUGAGACAUGAACGAUAGACUGAAUGCAGCGUGUGCUAUAUAGCCUUUCAGCGAAAGCCAUAAUGCCUCAGUAAAACAUCCAUUAUAUAAAGUAAAGAAUAAUUUCAAGGGUAGGGGUUUUCAACUGUGGUACAGAUUUAUUACCUGCUUUUUAUGAUCUUUUCAACAUAAUCAUACACUCCAGUCACCAAAGAAGCCCUCCAGAUGACAUCGAAUUUUCUCCAAAAAGGAGCAAAUCUGUUUUACAGACUUCUGUUUUGUAGAUUCAGCAAUACGUGCACCAACCUCUGAUUGUAGUAUCUCCAUCCGGAAAAAUAUCUGCAAUUCAUAUCGUGCACGAGCUGGCGCAAGGAGGCGGCGAAGCACGAAGCCCGGGGCGGCGAUGCCGGGUCGAGGCGAAAUGCGGGGAGGGAAUUGAGGGUUUGGGAGAGGGAAUUGAAAGUGGGGCCGGGGAGGUGGAAAGAGAGGGAGAGAGAAGUGGGGAGCUUGGAGGAGGAGAGCAGCGGAGAGAGGGAGGAGAAGAAGGGUCUGAAGGCGAAGAGAGAGGCGGAGAGAGGAGGGAAAGAGAGGAUGGUUUUGACGGCGGCGAGGAAGGCUGUGAGAAAUGGAGCUGGGUUUUGGAGGUGGAGGAGUGGGUUGAGGCCUAGGAGGAGGACGAUGCGCUGCGUUUUGCCGUAGUCGGCGAUUGGGUCGCCGGAGCUCCGUUCAGAUGCCAUCGCAUUUGCAGGAGGAGAAAGAGACGGACUUGGGUUGCAGAGAAGGGAGAUGCAAAUGUGGAAUUAAGGAACAGUAAACCGAAUACGCAGUCGUUUUAGUAGAAAAACGACGAUACGGUAGAUGCUUGAGCGGGAAACCAAAUUUUGGCUGUAAAGGAAAUGUUUUAGGCCCCGUUUGGGAUUGAGGUGAUUUUAAAAAAAGCCACUGUGAAAAAAAGCUGAGGGUCAUUUUUGUGUUUGGUAAACUGAAAAAAGGGCUUAUUUUGGAAGCUGCUGUGAAAAUAAGCUGAAAAUCAAAGGAAAAGCUGAAGCUGCUAUUUGCUGCUUUGAAAAAAAGCCAGUUUUUUCAAAGCACACAGAGCUACAAUGCUCCUUUAAUGAAAAGACACACUAUCAUCCUGAUUUUUUUUCCAAAAGCACUUUCACAAAAAAGUUUACCAAACACUCUACUGCUUUAUUUCACAGCCGCUUAUUCUCACAGCACAGCCGCUUAUUCUCACAGCAGCUUUUUUUCAAAGCACAGCAAUACCAAACCAGCCCUUAAUCUCAUGAAGGACCUGUUUGGACUGCAUCUAAAUUUGUUAAAAGCGCUUUUAGAGAACAAAAGAGCUUUUGACAUCAGUUGAAAAAAAAAAAAUAUUUAAAGUACUUCUUCACGUGAAAAAAACACAUGGUUUUUAAUGAAAAUUCCAACAUGAUUUGAAUGAAAGUGCUUUCAAAAAGUAUUAUGAAUAGAUAUGCUUUUUUAUAUGCUUCUAUGAAAAGUGCUUUUUGCAAACAAUGUCGGGCUCGUUUGUAAUUACUUUUAAAAUGGUUGAAAGUGUAUUUCGUAAAAAUAUUUUUAGAAACAAUAUUUAGUAAAAUGCAAGUGAAUCCUAAAAAAAACACUUCAAGAAUAGAACAACCAAAGGGGCGAAAACUGUAAACCUCAUAGCAACCGAAUUACAAUUCGAGAACAUACCCGUUACUGAAUCCCAAAUCGCUGGUUCCCAAGUGUAGUCAUGCACAAGCUCGUUUAGAACCAAUAUUUUCUCUAAGAACGAUUUCAAUCAUUUGAAAAACAUUUUUAAACGAACUGAUGUUUUUAGGAGAAACACAAUGAGGAGCAAAUGAUUCCUAGGCGAGAAGAAAAACUAGACAGAAUGUUAAAUAGCACAUUAUGUACCAAUUUUUCUUCAACAAAUUGGAACUACUGAGAAGUUUGGAAACUAAAAAGUAAAGAUUGAUUCUAAGGAUUCUAACCCUGAUGAUUGCUUAUACAGUCGAACUACUUGAAUAGACUGGACUACCGAAGAUAAACUCAUACAUAUACGAAUUAUUAAAAAGUGAAAGAGGCUCAUCUCAGUUUUUUUUUUUUUUUUUAGUUGAAAGAAAAAAAAGGUAAAACAUGGAGAAGAUCAUGAACAGUAAUGGGUUUUAGUAUAUAUAAAUAUAAUUUGUAACUGUAUCUGUCCAAAUAUGCCGUGCAAGUUCUAUUCAUUAGCAGGUACUUUGAUUGCCAUGCAGUAAGAGCAUACAACGGAGAUUGGCUUUGUAUCAAGGCGUACGUCCCAUACACCUCUUUUAUGGGUGAUGCUGUCCACACACUUCUUUUAAUUACCAGUCGUCAUAUAGAAUGAAUUCAAGAGGAUCAAAUGACUAAAAUUAACAGAGAAUAUGUAAAAGAUAAACCAGAGUGUAUGGAUAACACCACCCUAUCUUAUUAGGAUAAUAACAUCCGAUGUGUUUGAUAUAAUCUUUUAGGGACUAACCAAAACAUUGAGUUACAAAAGUCAAACACUUCCGAUGAUGGAAGAACUAUAUCCACUUCUAUCGUCACAAAACUUGGACAAUAACAUCACACCACCAUACUUUGACGACUUCUUUAUCACCGGCAGAAUUUCCGAAUUCAACAAAGCAGCCGGAACAUACCCACUCUUGGCCGCCUUAGGAGCCGCCAGCAACCCCAAAAACAUCUUCCCUGUCUAAUACAAUGAUGUCACUUGGCGUCUUAACAAGAUGGGAGACUUUGGAGGGACUUUAUUGAGUACUCCAGAGUACUCAGUACUCUCAUUUGUUUAAAAAUAUAAAAAUCAAAAUCUAACGAUUAAAACAUCUAGAGUAUCCAUAUAUAGUACUGCUCAAAACUUUUUGAGACAUUGGACGUGAUCCCUCCUAGAAAUUAUUAAGUUAUACAGUAGUACACUUCAGCCGUGAUACUUUCAUUCAAAGGCUAGCUUUAUACUAAUAUGUGAUACUUUCAUUCCAUAUUUGAGAGCCAUUGGAUAAGUAUAAAGCUAACCUUUACAAUAUGAGCUAGUUAGUUAGCCUUCACACACACAGUGCCUGCCUAUCAUGUAACCAUUGACAAUGAUACCCGACAAUUUAUUUGGAGAGAGGGUCCUCACUCAUUUAUUUGGACCUAUAACUUCAUUUCAUAAUAACUCCAUCACAUCAUUUUAUGUACCAUAGUUUAUUCAAUUUCAAAAAUUAGUACACGCAAUAACAUGUUUUAUCGUAAAAUAUACGAGGUUUUUUAGUAUAUUAGAAAUACGAGAUGAUGCACCACAUGUCAUUAUAUAAAUGAAGAGAAAUUUUUUUUUUUUUUAAAUGUGCCUCCACUUAUAUAAUGUAUUGUACCACCCAAAUUCUGAAUAAGUGAAAGAUCUCUCCAAAAAAUACAUAUGCAUGUUUUAUUCAAAAGGUAAGGAAUGAUGCGUCAUCAUCCCUAACACACUUUAUUAUAGUAGUAGCAUCAAUUGAGGCAGAGAAGUUAAUUAGAUGCUGUCCUUAAUGGAUGCACUAUAACCGUUGUCAUAGAACCUGCUCCAAAGCAUAACUCCUCCGUACUUGGGCGAAUUCUUAAUCGUUGGAAGAACUUGUGACUUGAGAGCGUCAGCAGGAAUAAAUCCGCCGCUUGGAGCGGCCUCAGGAGCUGCCGGUAACCCCAUGAACACCUGGGUGGCCGGAACCGAGGCCCAUUGGUUCCAACUGCUUAAAAGAGCGUCGGCAUUACCGUCUGCAUACUGGCAUGGGGGGUUGUUGUAGAACUGAACCCAAACGUAGUCAAAUAAACCGGUUUGGAUAGCGGCGUCCAGGUGAGCAUCCGGGAUCGGACAUUGUGGAGCUGCGGCUAAAUAGACCGUUUUUGCCUGUGCGUUGUGUCCGUUGAGUGACCUGGCGAGCUCAUCAUAGAACUGCGCACCACCCGCCUCAAUGUCGAAAUCAACGCCGUCCAAAACCGCGUCCCCAAGCGGGCGCGAAGCGGACUGACCACCUAAGAAGUUGUUCCAGAUGUAAUCAGCAACUUGCCUUGCAUCAUCAGCUGAAGUGAGAGAGUAACUUCCGGCGCCCCCUCCAAUCGAGAGGAGGACUUUUAUGUUUUUUGAUUGGCAGGUUCUGAUGUCAGCACUCAGCCCCGUGCAAGUACCACUAGGGGGGUCGCAGUGGCCGGCGAGGUUUAGGACAGGGGUUUGGUUGUUUCCGAAAGUAGUGAGGAAAGCUAUGUUAACAAACUGGUAGUUGCCUGAGUUGCAAGCAUCUGCUAGGGUUCCUUCGUUGCCGUUUUGGCCCCAAUAGAUCGCAAUUCCGGCGGCUUGGGAGGACUUGCAUGAAGAAAUGAGGAUCAAGAGGGACAGAGUUAGGGUUAGGGUUUGUGUUUUGGAUGCCAUUUUUGUAUGUGUUUUUUUGGGUUGUUGCUCAAAGUGCUUGGGAGGGGACAUGUACUUAUAGGUGGAGACUUACUGGUUAAGGUUUAGGGGAAGAAAAAUAUGACACACGAGUUCUGCUUGUAAGAAAUGGAUGCCAGUCUUCUGCUUGUCAAUCAAGUUAGCUAGGGCCUGUUUGGUCGAAGUUUCACAUGAAACGUCGAUUAAGUUAGGUCGGGUUGGAAAUGCUUUCUUCAAAAACCACUUACACACGUAAGCUCUUCUUAUAUUUUUCAUAAUAAUGCAAGUGCUUUUGGAAAAAACACGAGAGGUGUUUCGCAUGUGUUUUUUUCAAAAAGCACUUCAAAUAUUUUUUCUACCUAAAAAUCCAUUAAAGCUCCUUUACUUGUUUUAAAGAAACUUCCAAAAUAAUAUUUAAAGAAAAAUUACUUCUAGAGAGAAUUAUAACAUGCUAAUUGAGAGAUCCCGAAACUAGAAACUAGAUGGUUAUAGUGAAGCGUGACCUUAACUGCUUAAUUAGGUGAAAAAAGCCAUCAAAUUUGACAAAAAGUCUGAUGAAAGGUCAUAGCUGUAUGCAUAAUCCGUAGAUGAGAUAAUCAUGAAACAAUACGUGGGGAAUCAACACAGCCUUAUCAUCGUCAAAAAAUUUUAGUGUUCUAGAAACACGAUCUGAUAUACAAAAUGUUUUAACAUCAAUUGAACGUUUUGGAAAUUUGUGGAUAGAAACCAAAUGGAAUAUGCUUGCUAGCUGCUAUAUACAUCUUGGAUUUUAGCUGAGGUGGCCAUUGGCCAAGGACUGCGAUCUAAUCACGAUGCUUUAAUUUCGCAGUACGAAAAAAAUUUCAGAUAAAAUUUAGAACAUGUUUAGGGAGUGCUUUCAAAUCACUGAAAGCGAUUUUAGAAAGAAAAAAAAUGUUUAUACAACUAAUUUUUAAUAAAAAUGCAAGUUAAUUCUCUAAAAGUAUUGAAAUUAGUGCUUCUUUGAUGAAUUACUUUAAGUGCUUUUGGAGCUCAAAAAUAUUUUCUCAAGUGGUUUCAGUUAUUUAAAAACACUUUCUAAACGAGUUAAUGACUCGUGUAUGGCAACAUUUAGCAAGUAAUAGCUCUCAUGAAUUGGAUUGUGGUGAUGUGAAAAUGGGUUUGGGUAAGUUUAGUUUAGAUCAGUCACCAGUGUAUAAAAUAUCCAUGAAAUUGUCGAUAUUUUCAUCAAAAUAUCCUUAAAAUUUAGGGUCCAUAAGGAAAAGAAGGGUAAAAUAUAAAUUUCAACCUAUAUUGGCGAGAUAUAAGAAAACAAUGAAUAUCGACAAUAUUUACCAAUUAACUACAAAAUGUUGCUAAAACCUAUUGCAGAUUUUGAACUUUAGAAUUUUUUUUUUAUAAAUUUUUUCUUUAAUUUCGACUAAAUCUGAAUGAGUUGAUACUUGAUAUGCUUAUCCCAUUGUAAAUUUCCAUCAAAGACUUUCCAACUAAAUCGAUAUUUUAAACAUUGGUUUAGACCCACAUGUUUAAUAUCCAGUGCAUGCAAAUAGAAUGUCAAAUCUUUCAGAAAAACUUCAGUAGGACUGCCACUUAAGGGCAACUAGCAUAUUAAAGAGACCAAUGCAAGGUUGGAUGAGACUAAAAUACAUAAGAGCAAUUCCACCGGGGACCAAAUGUCCCAGCCUCCAGUCCAAAAACCAAGCCAGGCCUCUGUCAAUCAAGUCCACCCCAACAAACUGACUGGUACCCAGCCCGAGUUGGGCAAGAGCCCAGCCCAAAAGAGACUGAGACAGAAGCCGGGGAAGAAGCCUGGCGCGUGCACUUCACGUAGCCGUUUGGCGAGUGCCCGACAAGCUUUCAGACGCCGGGGCCCGCGUGCAGGCGCUGUCAGUCCCCCCCCCGAGUUGCGACGUGGCUACCUCUCUGCCGUUGGAUUUCCAACGGCUAGUUUUCUAGACCGUUGGAUUUCCAACGGUAAAAAAAUUUUAAAUUUUACUUUUAAACUAGACCGUCGGAUCAAAGAUCAACGGUCCACGUUUUUUUCACAAAAAGUAAAUUAAAAAAAAAAAAAAAGGGCCCAACGGUCAGAAAUAUGACCGUUGGCCACGUGGCAACUCCCUAGCUCUUGGAUUUGAAUAUUUUUCAAAUCCAACGGUCCAGAUUAAUUAACUAUAUUAAAAUUCAUUAAAAAUUAUUAAAAAAUACAGAAAAAUUAUUAAAAAAUACAGAAAAUUUUAAAAAAAUUACAGAAAAUUUUGAAAAAUGUUAAUUUUUUUUCCUAUAAAUACCUAACCCUCAUCUUCUACCUUUACACCACAUUCCAAUAUUUUCUACACUUUCUAUACUAUCUACAUUUCAAAAUAUUUUCUACACUUUAAGAGAAAAAAAAUGUCUUCGUGGAAGCUCAUUGAAGAUGUUACGUUGUGUGAAUGUUGGGUUCACACUACUCAUGAUCCGAUUACGGGUAAUGAGAUGGAUAAGCGAGAGAUGUGGAGUAAAAUUACGAAAGCGUUUUGUGAUGUACAUGGAGAAAACGCCAGAACUAGUCAAGGUCUUCAAGGUCGUUGGAAAAAACUCAAUGCAUCAUUUACUUGUUGGAAAAACGCCAUCUCUCAUGCUUCCGGUAACCUCCGUAGUGGGACAAGUUUAGCGGAUCAGGUGACAAUAUUUUUUAUUUAUUUAUAUGCAUUCCACUCACAUUAAUAUUUUGAUUUAUUUAAUUUCGUAUGUAAUUUUUAUCUUAUUUCUUAUGUAAUUUUUAUUUAAUUUCUUAUGUAAUUUUUAUUUAAUUUCUUAUGUCAUUUUUAUGUAAUUUAUAUGCAUUCCACCCGUAUUAAUAUUUUGAAUUUAUUUAUUUGUGUUACACCCGCAUUUUUUAACACUAUGUUAUCCCACUUUUUUAUAGACACUACAAGCUCAAGCAUUCUACAAUUCAAAGAACGGGAACAAAUCAUUCAAUAGAUUGGAAUGUUGGCAAAUUGUCAAAGAUUGCCCUAAAUACAAAAUUGUGGCAACUGGUCCAGAAGUUGUCAUGCACGGUAUGGGUCUACAUAGUUCUCCAGAACCAGACAUGGCCGAACAAGAAGCCGACACAUUUCAAGACACGGAAGGGACGGCUGAACAAGUGCCCGAGACCCAACCGACUCGUCAGUCCCUAAGGCCUCUAGGUAAAAAGGCGUCAAAGAAAAAAGGUAGUUCUUCCAAAAAAUGACUACACUAAAUAUAUGGAGGAACUUGCUCGCCAAGGUGAACUAAACUUGGCACGAGAAAAGGCUAGAGAUGAGGAAAAAGUUGCUGCUAUGGCAGCAAUAUUAGCAGCUACUGAGGCCCGUGAUGCGGCGGCUGAAAGACAAAGAGAAGUAGUUAAUCGAGAGAACGAGCUGGUUAGAGAAGCACUUCAUCGAGAAAAUGAAUUGCUUCGAGAAGAAAGGAUGGCUCAAGCAUCGUGAUCGUGACACUAUGAGCAAGUCUCUAGUAGGACUGUCUCCGAAUUCUAAAUAUUUUUUAGACAUCGGAAAAAGAGAUGCCAUGCGUAGGAGGCGUGCAAGAGAUGCGGAAACAAGUCAAGGGGGUUCUAGCUACACAAAUCAUGGCAACCAAGAUCCUAGCACCACAUAUCCUAACUCGAGAGACUUUAUUUAAUUUCUUAUGUAUUUUUAUGUAUUUUCUUUCUUUUUUCUAGUAGAACUUUAUUUAAUUUCUUAUGUUUUUUCUUUUUUUUAGGUUUGAACUUUAUUUAUUUUCUUAUGCAAUUUUAAUGUAAUUAUUUAUUUAAUUUCUUUUGUACUUUAUUUAAAACACAUGAAAUAAGAUUACACAUAAACUCACCAAAUAAAUUUAAAAACAAAACACAUUACAUAGAAUUACAUAAACUCACCAAAUAAACUUAAAAACAAAACACACUACAUAGAAUUACAUAAACUCACCAAAUAAACUUAAAAACAAAACACACUACAUAGAAUUACUUAAACUUAAAAAAAAAUACAAUUUAUUCUUCAACCACAAGCCUCAUUCUAAUUAUCUUCGCCUCCAUGCAAUCCCCACUGGUGCUCAAUCAAGUCAUUCUGGCGGGUUACGUGCCAGUAUGGCUCUUGCACAUUAGUGUACCGCUGAACGAUCAAUUCAUUGUAACGUCCAUCACGUUCCAACGGCUCGUGUUGCACUGGAUCUUCGGUCCCAUCAUGAGCACAAUAAAUACGUGUUCUUGAGUUGUUCAUCGGAUCUGGCUCAUAUUCAUCGACGGCAUCAUAAUCAUACUCAUCUUCAACAAUCAUGUUAUGGAGAAUAAUACACGUCAUCAUGAUGGAUCGAAGAGCCUCGACAUCAAACAUUCUAGCUGCAGCCCUGACAAUCGCCCAACGAGCUUGCAGGAUACCAAAACAACGCUCGACAUCCUUCCUACACCCUUCUUGACAUUUUGCAAAGUGUUUUUCCUUUUCAGUCUGUGGAUGUGGCACUGUUUUGACAAAUGUUGACCACCUUGGGUAAAUGCCAUCUGCAAGGUAGUAUGAUCCCUCGUAUUGGGUACCAUUAACCCAAUAUGUGCAUCUCGGCGAGUUUCCUUGCAGCAGUUCGUCGAACACUGGGGAUUGGGCAAGGACAUUUAGGUCAUUUUGAGCUCCUGGAACACCAAAAAAAGCAUGCCAAAUCCAUGUAUCAAAUGAAGCCACCGCUUCCAAAAUGAUGCUUUUGGCUCCUUUUCUGUCGCCAUAUGCUCCUUGCCACGCACUUGGACAGUUUUUUCCAAGUCCAGUGCAUGCAGUCGAUGCUUCCAAUCAUGCCAGGGAAGCCUCGCAUCUCACCCUUCCUCAGAAGCCUUCGCAUGUCCCUUGACGUGGGUGUCCGGAGGUACUCUUUGGUGUAGAGGGCUUCAAUUGCAGAGCAAAACCGCAUCAGGGACUCCAGAACAGUUGUUUUUCCCAUCCUCGCGAUCUCAUCCACUUGAUCUGCAGAUGCUCCAUAUGCAAGCAUUCGCAAGGAUGCCGUAAUUUUUUGCUCGGGAAUAAGACCUAGAACAUGAAAAGCAUCCUCUUUUUGCACAAAGUAUGAAUCAUUGUUGCAAAUAUCACUCAUGAUUUUGUUGAACAAAUGUCGUUGCAUUCUAAAACGCCGUCUAAACAUGAUCAGGGAAUAUGCUAUUGGGAAUAAAAUAGUCUUCCAAUAGAUUUUUACCUCGUUUUUCCCUUUUUCUAUCGAGGUUUGCAACACGUCUUGGUUUGGCUAUCUGACCCACGGCUUCCAUGACACGGCGGGAAUGUGAGGCCUUCUGCCUUCUAUGGUGAUCAUCCUCAUCCUCCUCCAUGAAGAAAGCCUCAUCUCCACCUCCACCUUCCUCGAGAUUGGCCAAUUCUGCCUGUUGUGCCAACAACCUUUGUUGUUGCUCUUGCAACUGCUUAUACACCCUUCUUGAAGAAGACAUUGUAAUAAGAACUCAAGAUUUGAAAAUGAUGAACAAGGAUUCUGAGCUAAAAAGAAGGAUUGAGCUUGGUGUGAGGAUGGAUGUAGGGAUGUAGGGUUUAUAUGGACAAAAAAAGAAAGGAUGAGGUUCUGGACAAUGCCACGUGGCACUACGUGAUUGGUUGAAAAUCUUAUCGAAAUCUUGGCUAAAUUAUUGUAAACCGGAAGUGACACGUGGCGUGUCAGGAUUGGUCGAGAAUAUUAUCGAAAAUCUAUCCACAAAAUAGUACGUUCGGAUAAUGACACGUGGCAUGACGUGAUUGGUUGAAAAUCUUAUCGAAAUCUUGGCUAAAUUAUUGUACCAUGGAAGUGACACGUGGCGUGUCGGGAUUGGUUGAAAAUAAUAUCGGAAAUCUAUUCACAAAAUAGUACGUUCAGAUAAUGACACGUGGCGUGACGAGAUUGGUUAAAAAUCCUAUCCGAAAUUAAAACUAUUUUAUUUUUUUAUUCUUUAUUUUAAAUGGGUUAAAAAUCUUAUCCGAAAUAAACUUAAAAAAAAAACACACCAAAUAAAUGCGCUGGGUGCUAGCGCAUUUUUUUAGGGGUGGAGAUGCCUUGGCCUAUUACUGUUCACUCCAGUCUAUUACUGUUCAUUUGAGUGGAUAAAUGCGCUGGGUGCUGGCGCAAAGUCCACAGGGGUGGAAUUGCUCUAAAGUCUCGUGUUUUGAUGAGAUGUGGUCUACAAAUGAUAUAGCAUGUGCCCUACGAAAAAUGAGAUCGGAUUACCUAUUUGAAGCUUCUCUAGUAUGAAAAAUUCAAGAGGGAUGUGACGGGUCCGGAAAAUAAAAAAUCACACAUUUUUAUUAAUAAUUUUUUUGUUCGAAUUCGGAAAUGUAUAGAACUGAACAAAUGGAAUAGUAGCUCAGUGAUACCAACAAUUUCAUGUUGCAAAUCACAAAACAAAAAAAAAGGAACUGUUUUACACAAAAUUAAUGACAAUUAGAGUUGAACAACAGAAGCUUGCACUUUAAACGGUUUUUUUCUGCUGCUUUUGGUAUGUAUAUGCUUUUUCCAUGUCUCGAUGUAGUGCCAGUUCACAGGUCAUCAUCCUGGAACAAUGCUUUCGAAACAGAGCCGCACGGCUGGCUACUGUAUUCUCGGUAAUCUUCAUCGUCAUCCCAGCUGCGUUGCGAGCAUGAACGUUUGAUUCCUGUCAUUGGGGUUUCACAUACUCUGUCAUCACAUGAACCUCUAUGAUCCUUCCUUUUAAACAGCUUUCGAAGCGGAUUUAACUUUGGUUUCAAUGGUUUCAGCUGUUUUGGGGCCCAAACUCUCUGCAGAUCGGGCAUCCAUCUUGUGGAUGAAGCGAAUCUCCAAGCCCUCUCUCUCCUCUCUUGAGCUUCAAGUAACUUGCGAGCAUGGUCGUCGUUUUGUUUGAUCUCUUCAGCGCUCGGUCUUCCAAUAUCAGUUUUCAGCGGACGAAGAGACUCACCUUCUGCUGAUAAUGAGUCCCAGAUUCUAUAACUUUCAUCCACUUCGACACUCUUUGGUUUUUCUUUACAGGAUUGAUUGCUAUCCUCACUGUUGAGUAAACUAAUAGGGAGUUCUUCCUCAUCGGCAAACAGUAGCAAAUCCAUUUUUGUAUAGAUUUUGUGAACCACAUCUUCAAGUGUCUCACAGUACCUGAAAAUGUCCAAAUUCAAAGAUUAAUCUACCUGCUUAAUUCUCCAUCUCAAACAAAAAUUGAUCACCUGCAUUUGUACAUCAGGAAACUAAAUGCAGGAAUGAAUUAUUUAAGCUCCAUCAUUUCAAGGAUCAUACCGUAGGCUAAUAUGCUAUUGCAGAAGUUGUAUAAACAUAUUCCUCACUCGUUCAGAAAAACAUGCCUACGAUGUGCGGAUAACUGGCUUAUACCCUGUAAAUCUACACUAAUAAGGAAACACACUUAACUCAUCUAAGAUUAUAAAGAUAAUCACUUUCCUUUUUUAGCAUUAUUGCAAAGGUAAGUAGGAGAGCAUUGGAUGGGCAGUAAUAUCCCACAGGAAAGUGGAAACAGUGGCACCGGAAAUGUGUAUUUGAUGAGACAUGAACGGUAGACUGAAUGAGUGUCGAGAAAGCCAUAACGACUCGGUAAAACAUCCAUUAUAUAAAGUAAAGAAUAAUGCGAAAGGCAGGGGUUUUCAACUCUGGUACAGAUUUAUUACCUGCUUUUUAUGAUCCUUUCAACAUAAUCAUCUACACUCCAGUCACCAAAGAAGCCCUCCAGAUGACAUCGAAUUUUCUCCAAAAACGAGCAAAUCUGUUUUACAAACUUCUGUUUCAUAGAUUCUGCAAUACUUGCACCAACCUCUGAUUGUAGUAUCUCCAUACGGAAAAAUAUCUGCAAUUCAUAUCUAGUACUAGGUGAAGGAAAAGUGUAAAUGUAAUUGGAGACAAAUUUUCAUAUUGGUAGAGUUAUAACUGGAUUAAUGCAUAAUACAGAAGACAGUUCAGUUAUAAAUGAGAAAGGAUACUCUCGAACUAUUUUUCCAGAAGUCAGUCCUUCAGAUUCUGAAUCGGAUGCUUUAACAAACGGGCCGGAGCUUUUCUGCCUUGCAGUGAUAUCCUUGGGAUCUCUCAGUAGAAGUUUUAACACCUCAGCAGAAACCAAAUCAUCAGUAGCACCAGAUUUUACAAGGGAAGUUUGACUCUCUGAAAGGGCUUCUGUUUCCUGCUUUUUAUUUAACCAAUAUAUGGAUGAAUUCACAAGCCGAUAUGCCAAUGCCCCCAAGUCUACUGCUUCAUAUUCAAGCCCCUGUUGUAUCUUGUUGGAUAGACUACUGAAAAAAUCUUCCGACGUUUCUGAUCUAAAUUCCAAAGCAGCUUCAUCUUGUAUGCCAGAAGCCACAGUCAAAGAAUUUUCUCCAAUGGAAGGAGAUGAAGAAAUUGGCUGUUCACUUUCAUGGUGCAAGUUAUCCAACCUAUUGUCCAUCCCUUUUCUAUUGAGCUGGUCUGCCUGGGAUUCUUUCUCCACUAUUAGACCACGAUCGCUAGACUUCUUAAUUUGUUUCAUCCAGCAUUUCAGAAAUCGUAUCUUUUUUGAGUUAUAACAUUCCCUGGCAAAGUAAACCUCUUCCAAACCUAUCUCUGAGUGUUCAAAUGCUGCCUUGUAGAAGGCACUCCAUGUGAGAUCUUGUAGCAACUGUGAAUUUCUUUUGUUAUUUCUCUUCCUUCCCUCCUUGCCUGCAGAAUGCUUAUUGGAUGGCCCAGUUUGGUCCAAAUCAGCAUUCGGUUCGCAAAUCCCAUUCUUCAUAUUUCGACUUGAUUGGUCUGCUUUUGCUCCACCAAUAUCAUGCACUUUUGUCUGAGGGUGAAAUCCUUCAUCCACAAUAAACAGCCGAGCCGAAGAAACUGUGAAAGGUUUGAGAAUUCCGGUAGACGAUACACCACUGUCACUUGAAAGAGACACUAAUGCUCCAUGACCAUUCCUAUAUAAGAAACUCAAGAGAAUCUGCCAAAUGGGUGCUGACUUUCUCUUUGCAUUCUCACCCAAGUCCACUGCUACCACUUCUAGAACCUUAUCUGCAUAAUAAUUGCCAGAACUUUCUUUUCCAUCUUCACCAGGUUUUCCCAAAACAUCACAGACAAGGACUGGAUCAGAUAAGUGCCCCUUGAAUUUCAGAAACUCAUUGUACUUUUGCAAAGCCUUAACCUGGAACUUUGUCACGCCUUUGACAAAAUACCCCCAGAACAAUUCCUUCAGUUUACCACCCUUUGUUUGUGAAUUCAUGAUUUCUAGGGAAAAGAAAGCAUCAUCAGCUGCAUUUCUAGGCAACUUCUUCAAAUCAACCAAUUGAAGAUCACAAACCUUGCAUUCCAAAGGCUUCCCACUUACAUCUAAGAUCUCGAGACUCAACUGCGCAUUGACUUUCUUAUGACUAUCAUCACAACCGAAAAACUUGGAUGAAAUCCCUAUCUCGGGAUAAAUCAAACCAAAGGAAACAAGAGCAGAGCCAAGAAUAAUCCAACCAGUCGAGCAAAAUCCCCAUCCCAAACUCCUAACCCCACUCUCGAAAAACCCAAAUCUCGUCUUAUCCUCAUCGUUCCCAACCUUACCCUCACCACAUUCUAAUUCAUACCUGACAUCAACCCAGCUACACUGAAUAUCUCUACUCACAAAUGCUUCAUUCACAUUCUCAAAGAAACCCCUAAAUCUCUCGGAAAACGCUUUCACAUUUUCCAAAGACUCGUCACCCACACCCACUGUUAGGUCACAACUUCUAAAUUCCCUUUCUCGACCUGCUAGUAGCUGAUAGUAAUGGCGGUGAGUGAGUGGGAAGGAAGAUAGAGAGAGAUAGAAAGUUUCUUGUAAUAUUGUUUUUCUAAUUCAAUCCUGCAGAACAAUGCCACAAUUUGGUUCUUAUACAACCAUCCUUCUCACAAUGCCAGCUGGCUACUAACAAUAACGACAUGUAGCUAAAUAGUUUUCCACUAUUAUUCUAACCACUAUUAUAAUCAUAACACUACCCCUCCCUUACAAAAUAAACCUUGUCCUCAAGGUUAGAAUUAAAGACUGAAAUCAGGAAAUCUGGCAGCAAACUCGUCAUAAUCCUCCCAUGUAGUUUCGUCCUCUUUGUUGUUCUUCCACUGGAUUAACAACUGAACUCCAGCAGCUUGGCCCUUCUUGUAGACCCUCAUUUGUAGCACCUUGAGUGGUUCGAGUGGUAGCAACCCAUCAUCAGUGACAGUAGGCAAGAAUGGAGUUAUGUGACCUUGUCUCCCAAGUGCUUCUUCAAGCAACUAACAUGAAAGACUGGAUGAAUUUUUGAAUUCUCAGGCAGUUUCAAUCGGUAGGCAACCUUCCCAAUAUUUUCCAAAACCUCAUAAGGACCAUAGUACCGGGGAUGAAGCUUAUGGUAAGCAUGAGAUGACAAAGAUUGCAAUUGAUAGGGAAUUAAUUUCAAAUACACCAAAUCUCCUUCCUCGAAAACCCUCUCACUCCGAUGCUUAUCUGCUUGUGUUUUCAUCCGGUUCUGAGCUACUAGUAAAUUGGUCCUGAGCAUUGCUAAUAUUUUGUCCCUAGUUAGCAGCCCUUGCUCCACUAUAUCCAACUUAGCAGUGCCAAGCUCAUAAGACGCGAUGUGUGGUGGUGGAUAACCAUAGACCACUUCGAAGGGGGUGAACUUUGAGGAAGUGUGGUAGGAAGUGUUAUAGCUCCAUUCUGCCCAUGGAAGCCAGUGGAGCCACUUCUUAGGUUGACAGCUAGUGAAGCAUCGCAAGUAAGUUUCAAGGCACCGAUUCACCACCUCUGUCUGGCCAUCACUCUGUGGAUGGUAACCCGAGCUCAUACACAACUUGGAGCCUUGCAACUUAAAAAAAUUCUUUCCAAAAAACACUCAUGAAAAUGGUGUCCCUGUCACUCACAAUGGUAGAGGGCAUCCCAUGGAGUUUAAACACAUUAUCAACAUAUUCCUGAGCUACCAUGCUUGCCGUAUACGGAUGUGCUAAGGGGAUGAAAUGAGCAUACUUGGACAGCCUGUCUACGAUUACCAGGAUCACUGAUUUGCCUUUGCACAGAGGUAAACCAGUGAUGAAAUCCAUGCUUAUAUCCUUCCAUACAUGUGUAGGGAUCGGCAGAGGUUGAAGUAAUCCGGGAGGGGAAAUGGUUUCAUACUUAUUUUGCUGGCAUUCCCGACAUUCAGCCACCCAUGACCUGAGAUCUUUCUUCAUUCCUACCCAAUAGAAGCCCCUCUUCAAUAUCUGAUAAGUCUUUAGAACCCCUUUCAUGGCCUGCACUUGGAGAAGAGUGAUGUUCCUCAAAGACCUUCCUUUUCCAACUUGAAUCUGGGCUAAGCACGAUCCGUCCUUUGUAUUUGAGGAAACCGUUGUCUAAAUGGUACUUGGACAGAUUGGGGUCAAUUGCAGCAGCUUAAGAAUAUGCUAACACCUUCUGCACCUUGCUUUGAAUCCAACUAUCUUGUUCUAACCCUCUCCGAAGUUCAUCUAGCCACCCGAAGUAGGGGUAUGUGAUAGCUUUGCACUCCAAUAAGUCACUGAGAGGUUUCUCUUGUAAUUGAGACGAACCAACUACUCGAGAUAAGGCAUCAGCCAUUAUGUUGUCAUUGCCUUGCCUAUAUUGUAUCUCAUAAUCAAAUCCCAACAACUUGGCCACCCAUUUCUGUUGGAACGGGGUAGUAGUUCUUUGACUCAGAAAGUAUUUCAAGCUGCUAUGAUCUGUCUUUAUGAUGAAAUGGCGCCCUUGAAGGUAGUUUUGCCAUUUUUUGAUAGCACUAACAAUGGCAAUCAACUCUCUUUCGUAUGUAGACAAUGCUUAAUUCCGUGGUCCCAAUGCUUGACUUGUGAAAGCUAUAGGUCUGCCAUUCUGUUGCAACACAGCCCCUAUUCCAUUGCCAGAUGCAUCACAUUCCAAAGUGAAGGGAAUAGCAAAAUUGGGUAAGGCUAAUAGCUGCGGAGAAGUCAUUGUUCUUUUUAAUGCUUGGAAAGCUGCCGUGGCUUCAGGGGACCAAUUGAAACCAUCAUUUUUUGUUAGUUGAUACAAGGGUUGACACACCUUGCCAUAACCGGGGAUGAAUUUUCUAUAAUACCCUGAGAGCCCGAGAAAUCCCCUCAACUCUUUGACAUUUUUCGGUAUCGGCCAAUCUAUAAUUGCUUGAAUUUUAGUAGGAUCUGCAGCCACCCCAUCACGAGAGACGAUGUGCCCCAAGUAUUCCACCUGUGAUUGGCCAAAAGAGCAUUUCGAUUUCUUCACUGCUAAUUGGUGUUUCUGUAAUAACUCCAAAGUUUGGUGCAAGUGUGAAAGAUGGUCCUCCCAGGUCUUGCUGUACACCAAAAUGUCGUCAAAGAACACCAAGAUGAAUUUCCGGAGGUAAGGCUUAAAAAUGUCAUUCAUAAGGGCUUGGAAAGUGGCAGGAGCAUUUGUAAGACCAAAGGGCAUGACUAAGAAUUCAUAAUGCCCUUGGUGAGUUCGGAAGGCAGUCUUUUCCACAUCGGAGGGACAUACGGAUCUGAUGAUAUCCAGACCUAAGAUCAAGCUUAGAAAAAUACUGAGCGCCAUGCAAUUCAUCUAACAAAUCAUCCACUAAUGGAAUAGGAUAUUUAUCCUUAAUGGUAAUGCUGUUCAAUUCACGAUAGUCCAUGCAAAGCCUCCAAGUGCCCUCCUUCUUCUUGACCAAGAGAACUGGAAAUGAAAAGGGACUAUGACUUGGCUGGAUGAAUCCAGCAUCUAAAAGUUCUUGCACAGCUCGUUCAAUCUCAGUUUUUUGCAUAGGACCAUAAUGGUAUGGUCUAAUACUCGGAGGCUUGGAACCAGGAAGCAAUGGAAUCUGGUGAUCAUGAGCCCGUGGAGGUGGUAAGGUAGUAGGAGGCUUAAAAACCGUUUCAAAUUGCCUGAGCAUACCCUGCAGCUCAAUGAGUUGCUGGGGAUUCAAGUUGGAUGCCUCCAACGGAUUAGUUUCCAUUGAAUACAAUAAGACGCCCCAAUUAGAGUAUUUAAACUCUUUUUCAAGCUGUUGACAAACAGUAUCCUGUACCAAGUACGCUGGAGCAGUGGAAUGAACAAGUUUAUAGUGGUCUUUUCCCACAGAAAAUUCCAUGGUUAAGUUGUGAAAAUCCCACAAAACUGGACUCACAGAUGAGAGCCAUUUCACACCCAAUACAACAUCGCAACCCCCUAGAGGAAGUGCGUAGAGGUUAGUGUGGCAGCGAUAUGCACCCAAUUCCAAGGGAAUUUGUUGGCAACAGCCUUGACUUCGGACUUUACCCCCAUCGGCAAUCAUGACAUCGAAGGGUUUGGUGGUGUGACAAGGCCACCCGAGCUGCUUAAGCAACCUAGAAUCCACAAAAUUGUGGGUGCUACCAGAGUCAAGUAGUAUGGUAACAGGUAGAGUGUGAAGCACACCAGCCACUUUCAUGGUUUGUACCGUGGAGGGCUCAGUAGUGCCAUAGAACGCACAAGCACUCAACUCCAUGCUUGAUAGGGAAAGAUCAAUAGGCUCCAGUAAUUCACACUCUGUAGGUUCCAGCAAUUCACACUCGGUAGGCUCCAACUCAUUACAAACAUCAAGCAUAAGGAGCUGUUUAUUAUGGACACAUUUGUGCCCUCGAACCCACUUUUCAUUACAGAACCAACACUCGCCCUUGUCCUUCUUCCGUUGAACUUCCUCGGGGGUAAGUUUCUUAUAAGGGAGGGUUUGAGGAUGAGGCCUGGUAAGGGAAGGUAGAGGUAAGGCGAGAGGAGGUUUGAGUGGGGGAUGAGGUUUUGGGGGAGAUGGUUUCAAGUCCGUGAGUUUAGCAUUUAAUUGGGCAGCAAAGGAAAUGGCCUCAUGAACUGAGGAAGGGCGAAGCAAUUUAACAUCGUAACGCAAUUCCUUCUUGAGACCCCCCAGAAAGCAACUCUUUAAGAGAAUAGGACCAACAUCAUAGGUUCGAGUGGCAAGGCGCCGAAAUUCCACAAUAUAAUCACGAAGAGGGCCGGUUUGGCGGAGUUUGAAUAGCGACUCAGUGCAGUCCUCAAACUCCGGUGGACCAAAUUCCUGGCACAAAGCAGUCGUGAAUUCACCCCAGGUGGGAGUGGAAUGUACACAAUCGCGCCAACGAAACCAGUACAGCGGCUCAUUCUUGAAGUGGAAGGAGGCGGUCAAAACCUUCUGAUUCUCCGGAGUGUGAUAAUAAGCAAAAUAUUGUUCGGCCUUAUAGAUCCACGCUGAGGGAUCAUCACCGUCGGAGAAACGGGGAAAAUCCAGACGAUGUGACCGCUGCGGGCGAGGAGUAAAACCGCCGCCUUCAAAAGAAUCACGGCGCUGAAACCGUGGAGUGUCGAGACAACGAAAAUCGCCAUCAUCGGUCACAAUGGGAGGAGGAAUAUGUGGAUCUGGCACUAGAGGUGGUGGUGCAGUCGAAGAGCCAGCACCGCCUUGAGGACCAGGGUCGCGAUGGAGAUGCUCCAGGAGAAGGGCGAAUUUGGUUUCGAGAGCGGUGAAGCGGGUGUCGGAAUUGGCGUUGGAAGUCUGGAUCAGCUGAGGAAUGGCUCCCAUGGCUUCCAGAGUAGCUUCCACGGCGGAGAGGCGCGAUUCAACAGUGGACAUUCGAGAAUUUGUGGUGUGGCGGGGCAUACAAGAGGGAGACUCAGGAUCGAGAGGCUGAUACCAAUUGUUAGGUCAAAACUUCUAAAUUCCCUUUCUCGACCUGCUAGUAGCUGAUAGUAAUGGCGGUGAGUGAGUGGGAAGGAAAAUAGAGAGAGAUAGAAAGUUUCUUGUAAUAUUGUUUUUCUAAUUCAAUCCUGCAGAACAAUGCCACAAUUUGGUUCUUAUACAACCAUCCUUCUCACAAUGCCAGCUGGCUACUAACAAUAACGACAUGUAGCUAAAUAGUUUUCCACUAUUAUUCUAACCACUAUUAUAAUCAUAACACCCACAUUCGGGAAUUCUGUCAAACAGUUUGCAGACACACAGACGGGCGAAAACAGAACUACCAAAUUAGACCUCACAGCAACCGAAUCACUAUUCGAGAACAUACCCAUCAUUGGAUCGCAGAUCACGGGGUCCCAGGCGUAGUCGUGCACGAGCUGGCGCAAGGAGACGGCGAAAUGCGGGGAGGGAAUUGAGGGUGUGGAAGAGGGAAUUGAAAGUGGGGCCGGGGAGGUGGAAAGAGAGGGAGAGAGAAGUGGGGAGCUUGGAGGAGGAGAGCAGCGGAGAGAGGGAGGAGAAGAAGGGUCUGAAGGCGAAGAGAGAGGCGGAGAGAAGAAGGAAGGAGAGGAUGGUUUUGACGGCGGCGAGGAGGGCGGUGAGAAAUGGAGCUGGGUUUUGGAGGUGGAGGAAUGGGUUGAGGUCUAGGAGGAGGACGAUGCGCACAGUGCCUGCCUAUCAUGUAAAACCAUUGACAAUGAUACAAGACAGUUUAUUUGGACCUAUAAAACUAUAUUUAUGUAAAACUAUAUUUUAUUCAAUUUCAAAAAUUAGUACAUGCAAUGACAUGUUUGAUCGUAAAAAAAAAAAAAAUGAGAAAUUUUCAGUGUAUCAGAAAUACGAAUCGGUAAAAAAUCUCUCCAAAAAUACAUAUGCAUGUUUUAUUCAAAAGGAAAGGAAUGAGGCGCCAUCAUCCCUAACACACUUUAUUACAAGUAGUAUCAUCCAUUGAGGCAGAGAAGUUAAUUAGAUGCUGUCCUUAAUGGAUGCACUAUAACCGUUGUCAUAGAACCUGUUCCAAAGCAUAACUCCUCCGUACUUGGCCGAAUUCUUAAUUGUUGGAAGGACUUGUGACUUGAGAGCAUCAGCAGGAAUAAAUCCGCUGCGCGCGGCAUCAGUAGACGCCGGUAUCCCCAAGAACACCUGGGUGGCCGAAACCGAGGCCCAUCGGUUCCAACUGCUCAAAAGAGCGUCGGCAUUACCGUCUGCAUACUGGCAUUGGGCUAGGGGGUUGUUGUAGAACUGAACCCAAACGUAGUCAAAUAAACCGGUUGGAUAGCGCCGUCUAGGUGAGUAUCCGGGAACGGGCAUUGUGGAGCUGCGGCUAAAUAGACCGUUUUUCCCUGUCCGUUGUGUCCUUUGAGUGACCUGGCGAGCUCGUCGUAGAACUGCGUACCACCCAACUCAAUGUCGAAAUCGACGCCGUCCAAAACCGCGUCCCCAAGCGGGCGCGAAUCUGACUGACCACCUAGGAAGUUGUUCCAGAUGUAAUCAGCAACUUGCCUUGCCUCAUCAGCUGAAGUGAGAGAGUAAGUUUCGGUGGCCCCUCCAAUCGAGAGGAGGACUUUUAUGUUUUUUGAUUGGCAGGUUCUGAUGUCGGCACUCUGCCCCGUGCAAGUACCACUAGCGGGGUUGCAGUGGCCGGCGAGGUUUAGGACAGGGGCUUGGUUGUUUCCAAAAGUUGAGAGGAAAGCUAUGUUAACAAACUGGUAGUUGCCCGAGUUGCAAGCUUCUGCUAGGGUUCCUUCGUUGCCGUUUUGGCCCCAAUACGUCGCGAUUCCGGCGGCUUGGGAGGACUUGCAUGAAGAAAUGAGGAUCAAGAGGGACAGAGUUAGGGCUAGGGUUUGUGUUUUGGAUGCCAUUUUUGUAUGUGUUUUUUUGGGUUGUUGCUCAAAGUGCUUGGGAGGGGACAUGUAAUUAUAGGUGCAGGAGACUUACUGGUUAAGGUUUGGGGGAAGAAAAGUAUGACAGACGUGUUCUGCAGGUAAGAAAUGGGUGCCAGUCUUCCUCUUGCAACCGCGUCAAUCGAGUUAGCUGGGGCCUGUUUAGUCCAAGUCUUCCAUAAAACGCCGAUUAAGUUAGGUUGUGUUGAAAAUGCUUUCUUCAAAAAACACUUACACACGUAAGCGCUUC
rnacentral:lncRNA from 1 species